UUUUGGUAGGUAGAACUUUGAAAUCUACUCAGUAGAACAGUAGGUUCUACUGUAGAACACAGUAGGUAGAACUUUGAAAUCUACUCAUUGUUACUCCACAGGGAUAGUUCCAUUUUGGCCUCCCAGAUUUUGUUUCUGUGAGCUGGGAAAGUGUAACAAAGUGAGUACUGCUGGGUAACCUCCCCAGGAGCUUCCCAAGACAGCAUGGAAGAUUUAUUUAGAUGUUUCAGGCAACCAUUCAUAAAAGACUUCUAUGAUGUGACACUGCAGACUGAUAUCCUAUUCCACACAUUCCCUCCCAUUCUUAUAACAUUGCAAAUUGAAUUUAACCUUUGGAACUUCUUGGUGAAAAAAUAUUAGUAAAAGAACUCCCAGGUAUAAUAAAAUUAUUACACAGUUUUA